UGGGUAUCCGAUUUUACAUCUCAUCAACCCUGUGACAUACCUAUAACGUUGCCUCGGCGGGAACAGACGGCCCCGUAACACGGGCCGCCCCCGCCAGAGGACCCCCUAACUCUGUUUCUAUAAUGUUUCUUCUGAGUAAACAAGCAAAUAAAUUAAAACUUUCAACAACGGAUCUCUUGGCUCUGGCAUCGAUGAAGAACGCAGCGAAAUGCGAUAAGUAAUGUGAAUUGCAGAAUUCAGUGAAUCAUCGAAUCUUUGAACGCACAUUGCGCCCGCCAGUAUUCUGGCGGGCAUGCCUGUUCGAGCGUCAUUACAACCCUCAGGCCCCCGGGCCUGGCGUUGGGGAUCGGCGGAAGCCCCCUGCGGGCACAACGCCGUCCCCCAAAUACAGUGGCGGUCCCGCCGCAGCUUCCAUUGCGUAGUAGCUAACACCUCGCAACUGGAGAGCGGCGCGGCCACGCCGUAAAACACCCAACUUCUGAAUGUUGACCUCGAAUCAGGUAGGAAUACCCGCUGAACUUAAGCAUAUCAAUAAGCGGAGGAA
rnacentral:rRNA from 1 species